GCAAGUCGAGCGAGAAAGCACUUCGGUGCGAGUACAGCGGCGGACGGGUGAGUAACGCGUAGGAAUCUACCUGGUAGUGGGGGACAACAUGUGGAAACGCAUGCUAAUACCGCAUACGACCUAAGGGUGAAAGUGGGGGACCUUCGGGCCUCACGCUACCAGAUGAGCCUGCGUAAGAUUAGCUAGUUGGUGGGGUAAAGGCUCACCAAGGCGACGAUCCCUAGCUGUUCUGAGAGGAUGAUC
rnacentral:rRNA from 1 species